UACGUAGGGGGCAAGCGUUGUCCGGAUUUAUUGGGCGUAAAGAGCGUGUAGGCGGCUUUACAGGUCCGUUGUGAAAACUCGAGGCUCAACCUCGAGACGCCGGUGGAAACAGUAAGGCUAGAGUCCGGAAGAGGAGAGUGGAAUUCCUGGUGUAGCGGUGAAAUGCGCAGAUAUCAGGAAGAACACCCGUGGCGAAGGCGGCUCUCUGGGACGGUACUGAGGCUGAGACGCGAAAGCGUGGGGAGCAAACAGG
rnacentral:rRNA from 1 species